rnacentral:misc_RNA from 1 species
GAAAUGCGAUAAGUAAUGUGAAUUGCAGAAUUCAGUGAAUCAUCGAAUCUUUGAACGCACCUUGCGCUCCUUGGUAUUCCUUGGAGCAUGCCUGUUUGAGUGUCAUGGAAUUCUCAACUCUAUUUGCUUUUGUGAAUAGAGCUUGGAUUUGGAGGUUUAUUGCUGGUACUUGUGAUCGGCUCCUCUUGAAUGCAUUAGCUCGAACCUUUGCGGAUCAGCUAUCGGUGUGAUAAUUGUCUACGCCGUUGCAGUGAAGCAUAUCAAUGGGCUCGGCUUCCAAUCGUCCUUUACUGGACAAUGACUUUGACCUUUGACCUCAAAUCAGGUAGGAUUACCCGCUGAACUUAAGC